GUCCACGCCGUAACGAUGGAUACUAGCUGUUGGGCAACUUCAGUGGCUAAGCGAAGUGAUAAGUAUCCCACCUGGGAGUACGUUCGCAAGAAUGAACUCAAAGGAAUUGACGGGCCCGCACAAGCGGUGGAGCAUGUGGUUUAAUUCGAUGCAACGCGAAGAACCUUACCUGGUCUUGACAUAGUAAGAACUUUCCAGAGAUGGAUUGGUGCCUUCGGGAGCUUACAUACAGGUGCUGCAUGGCUGUCGU
rnacentral:rRNA from 1 species